rnacentral:misc_RNA from 1 species
UCUCCGUAGGUGAACCUGCGGAAGGAUCAUUACUGAGUGAGGGCCCCUCGGGGUCCAACCUCCCACCCGUGUUUAACGAACCUUGUUGCUUCGGCGGGCCCGCCUCACGGCCGCCGGGGGGCAUCUGCCCCCGGGCCCGCGCCCGCCGAAGCCACCUGUGAACGCUGUCUGAAGUAUGCAGUCUGAGACAAUUAUUAAAUUAAUUAAAACUUUCAACAACGGAUCUCUUGGUUCCA